GACGAACGCUGGCGGCGUGCCUAAUACAUGCAAGUCGAGCGAAUCAAUAGGAGCUUGCUCCUGUUGGUUAGCGGCGGGCGGGUGAGUAACACGUGGGCAACCUGCCUGUAAGACUGGGAUAACACCGGGAAACCGGUGCUAAUACCGGAUAACCCUUUCUGACACAUGUCGGAAAGCUGAAAGACGGUUUCGGCUGUCACUUACAGAUGGGCCCGCGGCGCAUUAGCUAGUUGGUGAGGUAACGGCUCACCAAGGCGACGAUGCGUAGCCGACCUGAGAGGGUGAUCGGCCAACCUGGAACUGAGACACGGCCCAGACUCCUACGGGAGGCAGCAGUAGGGAAUCUUCCGCAAUGGACGAAAGUCUGACGGAGCAACGCCGCGUGAGCGAUGAAGGCCUUCGGGUCGUAAAGCUCUGUUGUUAGGGAAGAACAAGUAUCGGAGUAACUGCCGGUACCUUGACGGUACCUAACCAGAAAGCCACGGCUAACUACGUGCCAGCCGCCGCGGUAACAC
rnacentral:rRNA from 1 species